GUUUAUGGCCAUACCACCCUGAACACGCCUGAUCUUGUCUGAUCUCGGAAACUAAGCAGGGUCGGGCCUGGUUGGAUGGGAGAAAUCUUUUUAAAUGCACAGAGUCAAUUAGUGCCCAAAACA
ensembl:rRNA 5S_rRNA 5S ribosomal RNA